AGAGUUUGAUCCUGGCUCAGGAUGAACGCUGGCGGCGUGCUUAACACAUGCAAGUCGAACGAACCUUCGGGUUAGUGGCGGACGGGUGAGUAACGCGUGAGAAUCUGCCCUCAGGAGGGGGAUAACGGCUGGAAACGGCCGCUAAUACCCCAUAUGCCGCGAGGUGAAACGAAUUUCGCCUGAGGAUGAGCUCGCGUCUGAUUAGCCAGUUGGUGGGGUAAGAGCCUACCAAGGCUUCGAUCAGUAGCUGGUCUGAGAGGAUGAUCAGCCACACUGGGACUGAGACACGGCCCAGACUCCUACGGGAGGCAGCAGUGGGGAAUUUUCCGCAAUGGGCGAAAGCCUGACGGAGCAACGCCGCGUGAGGGAUGAGGGCCUCCGGGCUGUAAACCUCUUUUAUCAAGGAAGAAGAUCUGACGGUACUUGAUGAAUAAGCCACGGCUAAUUCCGUGCCAGCAGCCGCGGUAAUACGGGAGUGGCAAGCGUUAUCCGGAAUUAUUGGGCGUAAAGCGUCCGCAGGCGGUCUUGUAAGUCUGUCGUUAAAGCGUGGAGCUUAACUCCAUUUGAGCGAUGGAAACUGCAAGACUAGAGUGUGGUAGGGGCAGAGGGAAUUCCCGGUGUAGCGGUGAAAUGCGUAGAUAUCGGGAAGAACACCAGUGGCGAAGGCGCUCUGCUGGGCCAUAACUGACGCUCAUGGACGAAAGCCAGGGGAGCGAAAGGGAUUAGAUACCCCUGUAGUCCUGGCCGUAAACGAUGAACACUAGGUGUCGGGGGAAUCGACCCCCUCGGUGUCGUAGCCAACGCGUUAAGUGUUCCGCCUGGGGAGUACGCACGCAAGUGUGAAACUCAAAGGAAUUGACGGGGGCCCGCACAAGCGGUGGAGUAUGUGGUUUAAUUCGA
rnacentral:rRNA from 1 species